rnacentral:pre_miRNA from 1 species
UUACCGGCGGUCUCUAAUUCGCUUGGUGCAGGUCGGGAACCGGUUCUCCGGUCGGACGCCGACCGGCCAGGUGGCGCCCCACUGCUGGGCGGCAGCUUGGCGAAAUGGAUCCCGCCUUGCAUCAACUGAAUCGGAGACCGCGGUGAAG